rnacentral:rRNA from 1 species
AUUGAACGCUGGCGGCAGGCCUAACACAUGCAAGUCGAGCGGAUGAAGAGAGCUUGCUCUCUGAUUUAGCGGCGGACGGGUGAGUAAUGCCUAGGAAUCUGCCUGGUAGUGGGGGAUAACGUUCCGAAAGGAACGCUAAUACCGCAUACGUCCUACGGGAGAAAGCAGGGGACCUUCGGGCCUUGCGCUAUCAGAUGAGCCUAGGUCGGAUUAGCUAGUUGGUGAGGUAAUGGCUCACCAAGGCUACGAUCCGUAACUGGUCUGAGAGGAUGAUCAGUCACACUGGAACUGAGACACGGUCCAGACUCCUACGGGAGGCAGCAGUGGGGAAUAUUGGGCAAUGGGCGAAAGCCUGAUCCAGCCAUGCCGCGUGUGUGAAGAAGGUCUUCGGAUUGUAUAGCACUUUCAGUAGCGAAGAAAAGCCAGGGGCUAAUACCCUCAGGUCUUGACGUUAGCUACAGAAGAAGCACCGGCUAACUCCGUGCCAGCCGCCGCUGUAAAAC